rnacentral:rRNA from 1 species
GUCUACAGCCAUGCUACCCUGAACAAGCCUGAUCCCAUCUGAUCUUAGAAGCUAAGCAGGGUAGGGCCUGGUAAAUACUUGGAUGAGAGAACACCUAGGAAGACCAGGUGUUAGCUC